AAGGGAGGAAAAUAAGCUGCAGCGAUGCCGCGAGAGUGAAGAAGCCCCUUGUGUUGUAAAUCUAUUACGUGAGGAAGAAAAAGACUGUACCAGAAUAAGAAGGUCCGGCUAACUUUGUCACAACAGCCGCGGUAAUAGGAAGGGACCUAGGGUAUUUGGGAAUUUAUGGGCUUAAAGAGUUCGUAGGUGGUUGAAAAAGUUAGUGGUGAAAUCCCAGAGCUAAACUCUGGAAGCGCCAUUAAAACUUAUCAUUUAGAGUAUGAGAGAGAAAAGCAAUUCUUCUAGUGUAGAGGUGAAAUU
rnacentral:rRNA from 1 species